rnacentral:rRNA from 1 species
UACAGGGGGGGCAAGCGUUGUUCGGAAUUACUGGGCGUAAAGGGCUCGUAGGUGGCCGACUAAGUCAGACGUGAAAUCCCUCAGCUUAACUGGGGAACUGCGUCUAAUACUGGAUGGCUUGAGUUUGGGAGAGGGAUGCGGAAUUCCAGGUGUAGCGGUGAAAUGCGUAGAUAUCUGGAGGAACACCUGCGGCGAAGGCGGCCAACUGGACGAAUACUGACGCUGAGACACGAAAGCGUGGGGAGCAAACAGG